UCCAAUACUAGUUUGUGUAUUUGUUGCUCAAAUCUUUCCAACUUUUGCCAUUAGAAGAGCUUGCAAAUGAUUGCUGUGUCCCUUUGACAUACCCCUAUCAAUUUUUUCUUUUGGUGGUUUCUGUUACUUUUUUCAUCACUUACUUUCUAGCACUACAAGAUACUCCAGGAUCAUAUGUUAUAUUUCUUGCCCCAGAUCUAGAAUCAGGUUUUUGUCCAAGGACCCUUGGUUCCUUUUCUUAGAAGCCAAGAUCUGGGUGCUAUUGUGUUCAUUUCUACACUGUUGACAUUUUAGGCUUGAUAACUCUUUGUCUUUGGGACAUGUUCUGUGUACUGUAAAGUCUUUAACACCAUCACUGGCCUCAGCCUCUUAGAUACCAAUGGCAACCCUCCUUCUCCAGUUGUGAAAAUCAGUAAUGUCUCCAGACAUUGUCAAAUGUCCCAUAGGGGGCAAAAUGGCCCCAGGUUGAGAAGCACUGGUGAGACAGACCUGCUGAAAAUGACAAGGAUAUAAUAUAAUAAAGAACAGUAGAAGAAUUGCAGAAGAAGCCUCUGAGCCUGUUUGUAGAGAUUGGGGAAGGAUUCACAGAGAAGGUAACAUCUGAACUGUUAAUUGAUUUGAUAUUUUUUGAGCCAUUAUCAUGAGCCAGAUAAAGGGUGAUUUUUUUUUUUUUGGCCCAACCCACAGCGUGUGAAAGUCCCCAGGUGAACCUGCGCCACAGCAGCGACCCAAGCUGCUUCAGUGGCCACAUCAGAUCCUUAAUCCACUGUGCCACAAGAGAAUUUGGUGAUGUUUUACUUUUGUUAUCUCAUAUCCCAGACGUAAAAAGCAGGUAUUGUGCAGGUGAAGAAACUAAAGUUCAAAGGGACAAAGUAACUUGCUUAGAGUACCUGAGGUGGUCUUAAAGGAUCCAGUUAGCCAUGCAGAUGGAGAGCUUUGAGGGCACUUACAUCUCCUCAUACUGCUCAAAUCUAGACUAUCUCAACCAUUCCUUUGUUUAUAAAAGUGCAGUACCAUCUCAUUUUUAAUUAAUUUUUUCCCCAUUGAGUUCUGUCUUCUUAAGAGCAGAAACCAUGCAGUGUUCAUCUAUAAUGCUCUCCAUGUCAUAGAUGUACCAGUAAACAUUAGUCCAGUCCACGAAAUUCCCCACUCAGAUUACAGAAUUAACUCAAGUCUCUUUCUGGUCAAACUGCUAUCCAACCAGCACCUCUGGUGGAGGGCUCACUGCCCAGCACACCAGCCAACCUCCUGUAGUGCUGGGCACUCUGCCUCCUCAUCGUUUUGCUGGCAGCACCUUGAAAGAGUUGCCUGACAUCAGUGACAUCCUCAAACUGUUACAGCCAGUAGCAUUUUGCCAUGGGUUAGAGCUGCAAAACGUGUUCUGUAAGGAAGGCAAAAAACACAUGAUAUACUUCUGAUACUAAAAUGCAAAAUGUGUUGUUACUGCUUUCCACAUGUAAUGCCAGUUAUCUACUUCGACAAUUCCUUUGUCUCAUGUGAUUCUUCUUUAAGUACAAAUUUAAGGUAUUACAUAGACUAUGAAAGGUAAUUUUUUCUCUUCAUUUCCCCUUCCUUUAAAUCCUUCACAUUCUUAUCCCAUUUUCCUUGUUUUGUUUUUUGGAGGUGGGAGUUUUUCUUAUUUAUUAAACAAAGCAGGGAAAAAUGCCCUGUUUUGUUUUUUUCCUUUUCUUUUUCUUAUAACUUCUGAAUCUGCUAUUUGCAGUUGCUAUGAAAUUUUAAGUCUAUUGAAUUAGAAGUUUCUCUCUCUGGUUUCAAGACUCACUUUCCUUCUUCCUUUCCUUUGCUAAAAUUCUGGUCUAAUUAAAAAAACAGUAGAUCAUAGUUAAAUAAAACUGUACCCAGGAUAACCCUAAUUUCCAUAUGCAGAUUUAUCUGCACUGACAGCCACCCCCCCCUUACACACACACUCUCUCGCUCUCAUUCUCCUUUCCCUCCUCUCCAUCUCCCUAUUGCAUUGUGUCUGACUGAUUUUCAGAGCACCUUGGCUGUUUCCCCCUUCUUAUUCUCUUUCUGUAAAAUAUCUAGACAGGAAGGAGGUGGAUGCAGAAGCUGAACAAACAAUCUCAUAUUCUUCUGCAAUGUCAUCGUUUCUUUCCCCCAUUUUAGGGGGCUGAAGUUGCCCAGGAAGGGGAUGCAGAGGAGCUGAAAGGAAGGGGGGAGCUCUCCAGAGGCAGCUGCGGUCAGGGGCAGGGACUGCCGCCAGAUGUGCCUGCCUCUCUGGGCUUUGAUGCGAAGGGGGCAGCAGGAGGAAAUAUUGGGAGACAAAAGCCCCGGUUUAAAUGAUCAUUUUCUUUAUUUAACAUGGCAGCAGACACUCUCUGCGUAGGAUCAUCAUGCCGAGCAUAAACUGGACUUUCCCACUUGCCUGGCAGGAGUGAGACAGAUCACUGUGUGCUAAAUGAGCAUCUGAGCAGAGAAGGAAUGAAUGCUGCAUAAUUAAGUACAGUAUUUAAUUUGGCUGUUGUGAAGCAAAAGAAUAAGGUAAUAAUUUUUAUUGUACUAAUCAGUCUCAAGAUGUUCUCUGUGUUAAUUGGGUUAAAAAAAUUGCAGUACUUAUUAGAAAUUCUAAUUUCACAAUGCAGCACUGACAAUAAGCUCAGCCAGUGAAUUAUUCACAUCUUUAAUUUGCUCACUUAAUGACAGUGUUCUGUAAUCAGAGUGCAGAGACUGCUGCCUAUGCAUUAUGUAUGAUGCUCAGGACUUAAAUGCAGGACAUUAUGAAGCUCUCAGUGGUUCAGUAAUUAGUUUUCCACAAGACAGGAUUUAGAUAUUCACAGAUAAAAGUCCACAGUUGGAUAAUGCUAAGGUUGCAACACAAAAUAACAAAGAAAGGGAAGCUCAAAGUUUAGACUGAAACUUUGUCUCUCCAGCAUGGUCCAUGGUGGAAACAGAAUCCAGCCACCUGAAAUAGUUGCCUAGCUCUGAUCACAUGUUUGAAAACUGUUUUUGAACAAAGUUGUAGCAGGCAAGGCAUAUGAACAAUUUCUGAGGACCAGAGGGGAAAGAUAAAACCUUUUUAAUUAGUGUUCACAGAAGCCCUGCAAUAUAUCCUCCUAAUAAGUCUGUAGUAUGCAUAGCAGGCAUUUUCAAUGUGCUUUGUAACUUAGUUAGUGCAAAUGCAAAUCAGGUUACAAUAGUGUUUGGUGUAAUUGUGUUUGUAAAAGGGUUACAUGCCCAAAUGGAGAUUGAGCUUGCUCAUGGUUUUGUUCCAGUCGCUUCUGAAGGGAGGUUUGAAAACCAAAUGAGAUAUUAAGUGAAUCUGGGCAUGAAAGGACGUAGAUCUGAAUUGUCAAUUGAAACUUCGGAAUUUCUUACACUUGUCAGUUUAGAGUUGUCAGUUUUUCUUUAGUGAUUCUGUCAUAAUUGUUCUGUUUUAAGUUAUAUAACUGUAUUGACUAUCCAGAGCCAUUAGUGAUAUUUUAAAAAUGUAUACUAACUUUGGGAAAACGUUUCAUGUUAUUACUUAUAUAGUUUAAUGAUUAAAUUGAAAUCUUUAACUGCAAUGGUUUUUUUUUUUUUUAAGACCAUACCACUUGGAGUAUUUUUAAAGACUUAAAUAUUAAUCUUUAUUAAUAAGGACUCAUUGCUUUAUCAUUUGUCAGUCUAAAUUUGUGCUCAUUUCCAAAACCCAAGCAUUAGAAUCUUCAAUAAAUAUUGGUAUCUGAAAUUGGAAUGGCAGAAACACUUUUUAAAAACUGCCUUUUAGAACUUUGAACAUUUUCUUAAAGAAAGUUGAACUGAUAUACCUAUAGACAAAUUCAUAUUUAGUGAAUGAGUGAACUAGUCAAAUUAUAAGUUACAUUCCACCAUAAUUUGAAAAUUUUUUAAGUUAAAGUCAAUCACACCUCCAAAUUUGACUUCUAACUUGUAAAACUGAAAAGUUAACAAAAUAAAAAAGGUUUUCCUAGACAUUUAGGAAUCUGUUGCAUUUGUGAUAAUUAGAACAUACAUUUUAGGAAAGGACACUUGGUUAGGGGAGGAAUUAGGAUCCUGAGCAGUUGAACAGGUGACCUGGCUUUGACGUGGGUUUGGAUCCAGGAUGAUACAUGGCAAUCAGGUGGUUCUAGUGAUGCCGGUAGUAGCUCAAAGAAGUGGCUGGGAUUAGAAAACUUAAUUCUAGUCCAGUUUCUGCCACAAACCAGCUAUAUGACUUUGCACUCUUAAAAUCACUUUCCAUUUCCUCAGCUACUAGACAGGAAUAACAAACUUUUCUAGGCUUUAGAAAAAACAACUGUAGAGUUGUUAUGGGGGUAAAUGCACUAGAAGGAGUGAAAGCUUUUUGAAAAUUUAAAAGCACUAAACAAAAAUAUGGAAGUUAUUUUAAGGAUUAGCAUAAAACUAAAUGUGUUUCUUUGAAUCUGUAUUGUUUAUUAUGGCAGAGAUUCUCAUCCAGAUUUGCAGUACUCCAUAAUGCAAAAAUGUCAAAAUAUUGUCAAGUAAAUCAAUUUAAAUUUAAUUUAAUGAAAAUAAGCCAUGAAAAAGUUCCUUCUUAGGUAUUUGGGGGAGAAUAAAAGAGCUUUAAGAUAUCAUAAACAUCAUUUUGGCAUCACUACAAAAAAGUUAGCAGUCUUCUUGCUUUAGACAGUUCUUUUACCUAUCUCUCGGGAGAACUUGCAUAUUAAUUCUCUAAGAAAUCUUAUACCUGGAAUGUCUCCCAGACACUAAGAUUUCAGUCAUCCUUCUCAUUAGAUUGUACAAGUCGGAUUGAAAUCAUUUACACCACCAGAAUUGUGGAGCUCUUUUCCUCACCAAAAAUCAAUAUGUCAAACUAAUCAAUCAAUAAUUGAUUAUCUUAUUUUUUUCUUUCAUAAUCUAUUGAGCACUUACAGUGCUAUCAAGAAUAACAUGCUACCUUGCCCUCAUUUUUUCCCCCUUUUUUAGCAGCACCCCUGGCAUGUGGAAGUUCCUGGGGCAGGGAUCGAAUCCCAUCCACAUAUGCGGGUGACCUACACCACAGCUGAGGUAAAAUGUUGACUCAUUAACAUACUGAGCCACAGCAGGAACUCCAUCUCUCCCUCAUUUUUAUGAGGCAGUUAUAUCUGUAUUCCAGAUGAGAGACUGAUGCACAGUGAAGUUAAGUAACUUGACAGUAACACACAGCUCAUAAGCAGUAAAGUUGGAAUUGAACCAGCUCCAAGUCCUGAGUUCUCAACCACUAGACUGUGUAGUCAGUUCCUAAAGCUCUGUGCUAAUUGCUGAGAUAAGGUAAUUUAGAUUCCUGCCCUCAAACUUUUCAUAGUGGUAAACUGCGGCUUUUACAUCACUUGUGGAUCUGGUGAAAAUGCAGAUUUUCAUUCAGUAGGGUCUGGGAUGGGGCCCAAGAUUGCUUUUCUAAUAAGUUUCCAGAUGAUGCAUUGUUGCUGUUUGGAGAAGACUCCAUUUGGUGAUUUUUGGAAUUACUCUCCUUUCUUGAAGUUUGAUACAGUGUAGCUAAGGCAAGCCAGGUAUACCAAAUUCCUUACUGAGUCCUAUUCUUCCUCCAGAUUUGAUAUUUGUUUCAUCAUAUAGAUGACCUUCCACUUUGGUUUCCUGACUUUAGCCCUCUGCUGCCCUGAGUCACAGCCUGCAUAGCUGUGACCCUGGCUACAUGCUUAGCUCUGGAUUAGACCUUCUCCCCACACUCCCAGUCACUAGCAUUGACAGUCCUAUAUCUGUUGUGGCAGCAGACUGGCAUCUUUAUUCCUUUUACUGCAUCAGAAUCACCUGUGAAGCUUAUUAAACACCUGCAAACCCUCUUAGCACCACUGGCAUAGAUUCUGAUUAAGUAAACCUGGAGUGGGUUUUAGGCUCCUUUAAAAAAAUCUUUCACAAAACUUCAUUAGUGGAUCUAAUGGGCAGCACAUGCUGAAAACACAGUUCCUGGGGGACCCUGCUAUUCCCUGACCUGAUGGGAAUGAUUUGGAAAGUGAUAUUGGCAGAGCUUCUUACCUUUUGUGUUUAAGUUUGACAUGCUCUAGGAAUAUUUUCUCUAUGUUUUUCUAUGUUAGCAAUGGGAGCACAACAUACAAAGAAUUUAAAACUUUCUUGAUCUAGUUUCAGGAAGGCUAUGCUGAAUGAUUGACAUUUGAAUUGAUUAGCUGAUGAAUGGGUAUUUUUUAAGCCAAAGGAAUAGCAUAUGCAAAGACAGAUAAAAAUGAGAAAAGUGUGUUCAAUACUGAGACAUCCAUUUUGACAAAAGUGUUUGUUCAACACACAGAAGGGAGCAGUAGGAGAUAAAAUUAGAAACUAGGUAGCCUUUAGGACCUCAUGUGUUAAACCAAAAUGUUUACACAUCAAUCUACAGACAGAAUUACCAGAGGUUAAGGAGGAAAGCUAGGCGAUCAGAUAUGUGUCUUGGAAAGAUAAUCUUAACAUUGAGGCAUGUAAAUUUAGUGAGGAAAAUUGAAAGCAAGAAGACAAGUUGUGCCUGUGGUAAUAAAGUCUAAAUGAAACAGGAAGGGAUGUUUUUCUCAGGCCAUGUGCCUGAGCCCUAAACGUAACCUUCUCUAUCUCAGACACUGAUGAUGUUUCUUUAUCAUACUUAGAUUUUAUAGUGAUAGACUACAUGGCAUGGCUUUGAGAAUUCAGGGAACUCAAUGUUUUUAUGAGCCAUCACUGGUUCUUCCUUCUCCUGAUUAUUUUACCUUGUAGUGCUGAGACAGCUAGCUCUAGGGUUCUUCCCUCAUGAGCGUCUUAGAGAUAUUAGGUAAUUACUUGUAGCAAAAUCUUCUACAUUAGUCUAAGAGAAACUUAAAACUCGUUAAUGAGCAGCAGUAAGAAAUUUGCCAGUGGUUCAGAGAGUUGUGUCUAGGCCUCUUGAAUGCAGUGCUAUUACUCAGGCUCUUCAGAGAGACUUCCCGUAGUCUAUUAGCUUUGACUCAGCUUGAUUUUUUUUUAUGUCCUGCCUCUGAAUUUGCCCCUUUUAGAGUGAAUUUCAGAUGUGCUUAGGUAUUUCACCCAGUUUUUACUCACUUCAGUAUUUCUUCGUUCUUAGCUAAAUUCUCUUCUUUGACUUUAACCCGCAUGUGCUUAUAUGCUAUGCUGUAAUGGCCCCUAAAAAUAACCACCAGAACCUGUGAAUAUGUUACCACACAUGGCAAAAGGGACUAAGCAAAUGUGAUUAAGGAUCUUCAGGUGUGGAGAUCAUCCUGGAUUAACUGGGUGGGCCAAUGUAGUCACAAGGGCCCUUUUAAGAGAGCGGUAGGAAAGUCAGGCUGAGAAAGCAGUUGGGAGAUGAUAUCUGGCUGGCCUUGAAGAUGGAGGGAGGAGCCAUGUGCUAAGGAAUGCAGACAUCCUCUCAGACUGGAAAAGAGCUCCUGGGCUGUCAUGUAUGAACAACCAAGCUAAUGGAGUGGAGGCAGAGGAGUUAAUGACCAUGGAGGCAUUUAUGGCUAAUAGGGAAUAUACCAGAUGUCCUUGGUGUGUGCAUCCCUGUGGAAUCUGGUUCAUCUCCAAUCUGUCAGAAAGCAUCAGAGGUGGUUUUGAGUCCUUAUGUCCUGAGCCUGUGGACAAAAUGUACCUUGUGUGGAGGAAAAUGAGAUCCCGAGUGAAGUCUACAAUGUCAUUGACUCUGAAGAAGGACUCAGAGACCCAUUGGUGUUUAAUGACCCUUACUGGCCUAUGCAAUGGGAACUGGCUCAGCUAUAUAUGAUCACAGGCCCAUCCCCUAAAACUUAUAUGGAAACUUGAAUGAUGUCAGCUUCUAAAGGACACUGUAUGAAGGACUGGAUUGCCAGUGGUAAGGAGGAGAAAAGGAACAAGAAAAAUUGGAAAGAUAAAUGUGGUCUUUCCAGUGAAGGCUCAAUUUUCCUACAUAAUUCAGAGUUGUGGCUUGGGCAAUGCCAAGAACCACAUCUGCACUGAAAUCAAUUAUCUGUUGGGCUACCGAUGUGCAGAACAAGCUCCCAAUCAGCCACGUGACCGCAAAGAUGACUUCCACUAACAUAGAUGGAGGAUGUGUAGCUCAUUUCAGUGGGACAUCCAGAGUCCUGUCUACAGUGGUUGGAGUUCUGGCUUAAAUUCAAGCAGCUGAAAACACAAGAAAUAAGAAGACCGUUUGAGAAGAGCAGAUAGUUGCCUUAAGAAAAUUCCUGUCAUAUGCACUCUGGGAUUUGGACUCAAAUCCUAAUUAUACAGAUACACAGAGGAGAAGGAAGUCUACCUCGCCAGAGGGACCUCACCAGAACCCAACCAUGCUGGCGCCCUGAACUCAGACUUCCAGCCUCCAGAACUGACCAUGGGCAUUUCUGGAAAUAGUUGUACCGUGGACUAAGCAACACUGUUGCUUCAUGUAGAAUUUUGAGAGACUGCCUCAAGGAACUUGAGCCAUCCAGGAUCUUGCCAUCGGACAAGAUAUCAAUUUCCUUUGAAGGUACUUCUGGUCCGGCAAGUGCUAACUGAAUCACCUUGGUACUUGACAUCGAUGACUGUCAGCAUAAUAAAUGUCUGGUAAGAGUUUAUCUGGUUCAGUUCUUCUGGACUGGAGUGGAACCAUCUUCCAACUCCAUUGUUUGAAUCUCUGGCACCCCAGAGAUGAAGAACAGGGAAUUCUAUACUGUACUCUCAGAGCUUCUGUCUACAGACCAUUUAUGAUUCCACACCCACAAGAUGAUGAUUUCAGGAUGCAGUUUCAUGUGUAAGCCUGCCCCACCUGCACAGCUGAAUUGUAUUCUGUGUAUUCUGUGUGUGGAUGUUCCAAGUUGUAUACGGUAGAGUUGUCUCUGAGACAUAAAGACCAAUGUUCAAGGACCAGAGAGAGUCUUCAGGAACUAAGGGUAGUCUCCAGAUGACAUCCAGCAAGGAACUGGUUUCUGCCAACAACCUGAGUGAGCUUGGUAGGAGAGUCUCCCCUAGGGCCUCUAUACAACCUGACCUGCCAACACCUUGGUUUUGGUCCUGGGAGGCUCUCAGCAGAGAACCAGCUCAGUAACACUGUGCUGGGAUGUCUGGGCCUUUCCUAAGUGGAAGAUUCUUAAUUUGUGCUGAUGAAAGCCACCCAUUUUGUGGUGUUUGGCUCAUAUUGCUGUCUGAAGGCUUUCUUUGUCUUCUCCUGCCCCCUUCAUUUUCACAGGCAUCACCUCCACCUCUUGCAAUUAAGAAAAAAAAUACUUGAGAGAAGUAAGGUUGCAUGAUGAGAGUGCCUUGAUUUCUUAAGAAGCAACACUUUCACAUCAUAAGGGUGCCUGCCCCAGUGUCCUGUUAGAUAGUGAACUGGAGUCUCUAUACUGCCUGUGUGCAGUGAGGAAGAAAUGAGACGUCUUCCUGUUGUGUUUCAGGAAACAAACAGAACACCUUUGUUGUAAGAAAGAAGUUGGAAGAGACCAUUAAUUAUUUAAUUAUUUUUCUUAUCAUCUUCCAUUGCUUUAUUAUCCUUAUCUUUCAGUUCAUAUUUUAUGUGUUUUUUUGAAGUAUAGUUGAUGCACAUGACUAUAAUAAUUAAACAUGUAAAAUAUAAGGAUUCACAUUUUAAGUUACAUUCUGUUUAUACUUAUAAAAUAUCAGAUAUAUUCCUUGUUGUCACAAAAUAUAUGCUUGUCCCUUAUUUUAUACAUAAUAGUUUGUGGCUCUUAAUCUCUCUCCCUGUAUUACCUCUCCCCCUUCCCUCUCCCCACUGGUAGCCACUAGUUUUAUCUGUAUAUCUGUGAUUCUGUUUCUUGUUAUAUUCAUUAGUUUGUUGUAGAUUUUUUUAGA